ACAUGCNAGUCUCAGCACCCCCGUGAGAACGCCCUAAACCCCUGUUCGGGACNANGAGCUGGUAUCAGGCACAUAUCUAACCCAUGACACCUAGACUAUGCCACAUCCUCAAGGAAUUUCAGCAGUGAUCAAUAUUGAAAAUACGCGUCAGCAAGAUUCAGUUAAAGUACAGAGAGCCGGCAAAAUUGGUGCCAGCCGCCGCGGUUAAACCAAUAGACUCAAAUUGAUUAUAUCGGCGUAAAGCGUGAUUAAAGUUUUUCCCCAUCAAAGAUAGAACCCUCACUAAGCUGUGACACGCUUGUGCCUGAGAAAAUCAAAAACGUAAGUUAUUUUUGUUAACCCCACUUGAAUUCACGACAGUUAAGACACAAACUGGGAUUAGAUACCCCACUAUGCUUAGCCGUAAACUUUAAAUUACAUCAUAAACGCCAGAGAACUACGAGCAAAGCUUAAAACUCAAAGGACUUGACGGUACCCCAUAUCCACCUAGAGGAGCCUGUCCUAUAAUCGAUAACCCCCGCUUUACCUUACCAUUUUUAGUCGUCAGCCUGUAUACCUCCGUCGUCAGCUUACCACGUGAGCGAACCACAGUGAGCCUAAUGUCUACACGUCAACACGUCAGGUCAAGGUGCAGCUAACAAAAUGUGGAAGAGAUGGGCUACACUCUCUAAUUUAGAAGAUACGAAAAACUUUAUGAAACCUAGUUAGAAGGCGGAUUUAGCAGUAAAAAGAAACUAGAGAGUUCUUUUUAAUAUGGCACUGGGGUGUGUACACACCGCCCGUCACCCUCUUCAAAAAUCUCAUUUUACAGUAUCUAACUAAUUUUUACUGCAAGAAGA
rnacentral:ncRNA from 1 species